rnacentral:rRNA from 1 species
GAUGAACGCUGGCGGCGUGCCUAAUACAUGCAAGUCGAGCGAACGGACGAGAAGCUUGCUUCUCUGAGGUUAGCGGCGGACGGGUGCUUAACACGUGGAUAACCUACCUAUCAGACUGGGAUAACUUCGGGAAACCGGAUCUAAUACCGGAUGAUAUUUUGAACCGCAUGGUUCAAAACUUAAAGACGCUCUUUCUGUCACUUAUAGAUGGAUCCGCGCUGCAUUAGUUAGUUGGUAAGGUAACGGCUUAGCAAGGCAACGAGGCAUAGCCGACCUGAGAGGGUGGUCGGCCACACUGGAAGUGAGACACGGUACAGACUCCUACGGGAGGAAGCAGUAGGGAAUCUUCCGCAAUGGGGGAAAGCCUGACGGAGCAACGCAGCGUGAGUGCUGAAGGUCUUCGGCUCGUAAAACUAUGUAAUUAGGGAAGAACAUAUGUGUAAGUAACUGUGCAGAUAUUGACGGUACCUAAUCAGAAAGCCACGGCUAACUCCGUG